rnacentral:rRNA from 1 species
UACGGAGGGUGCAAGCGUUGUCCGGAUUUACUGGGUUUAAAGGGUGCGUAGGCGGAUAGGUAAGUCAGCGCUUAAAUCCCGCAGCUCAACUGCGGAAAUGGCAUUGAUACUGCUUAUCUUGAGUAAAGACGAGGCAUGAGGAAUUUGUGAAGUAGCGGUGAAAUGCUCUGAUAUCACAAGGAACAUCAAUAGCGAAGGCAACAUGCUAGACUUUAACUGACGCUGAGGCACGAAAGCGUGGGGAGCAAACAGG